rnacentral:rRNA from 1 species
CACGUAGGGCGCAAGCGUUGUCCGGAAUUAUUGGGCGUAAAGAGCUCGUAGGUGGUUUGUUACGUCCGCUGUGAAAUCCUAGGGCUUAACCCUGGGCUUGCAGUGGAUACGGGCAGACUAGAGGUAGGUAGGGGAGAAUGGAAUUCCUGGUGUAGCGGUGAAAUGCGCAGAUAUCAGGAGGAACACCGGUGGCGAAGGCGGCUCUCUGGGACGGUACUGACGCUGAGACGCGAAAGCGUGGGGAGCGAACAGG